AUUGAACGCUGGCAGCAUGCCUAACACAUGCAAGUCGAACGGCAGCGGGGGAUAGCUUGCUAUCCUGCCGGCGAGUGGCGGACGGGUGAGUAAUGCAUGGGGAGCUGCCCAAUCGAGGGGGAUAACAACUGGAAACGGUUGCUAAUACCGCAUACGCCCUGCGGGGGAAAGGUGGGGACCUUCGGGCCUACCGCGAUUGGAUGCACCCAUGUGGGAUUAGCUGGUUGGUGAGGUAACGGCUCACCAAGGCGACGAUCUCUAGCUGGUCUGAGGGGAGGGCCAGCCAAACUGGAACUGAGACACGGUCCAGACUCCUACGGGAGGCAGCAGUGGGGAAUAUUGCCCGAUGGGGGAAACCCUGAUGCAGCCAUGCCGCGUGUGUGAAGAAGGCCUUCGGGUUGUAAAGCACUUUCAGUGGGGAGGAAGGGGAGUAAGCUAAUAACUUGCUUCAUUGACGUUACCCACAGAAGAAGCACCGGCUAACUCCGUGCCAGCCGCCGCCGUAACAC
rnacentral:rRNA from 1 species